GCCUACGUUGUCCAAUGGCUAAGACACCUGCCUGUCGCGCAGGAGACCCGGGUUCAAUUCCCGGCGUGGGCG
rnacentral:tRNA from 1 species